rnacentral:rRNA from 1 species
UACAGAGGUCCCAAGCGUUGUUCGGAUUCAUUGGGCGUAAAGGGUGCGUAGGUGGCGCCGUAAGUCAGGUGUGAAAUCUCGGGGCUUAACUCCGAAACUGCAUUUGAUACUGCCGUGCUUGAGGACUGGAGAGGAGACUGGAAUUUACGGUGUAGCGGUGAAAUGCGUAGAUAUCGUAAGGAAGACCAGUGGCGAAGGCGGGUCUCUGGACAGUUCCUGACGCUGAGGCACGAAGGUCAGGGGAGCAAACGGG